rnacentral:rRNA from 1 species
GGGGAAUAUUGGGCAAUGGGCGAAAGCCUGACCCAGCCACGCCGCGUGAGUGAUGAAGGCCUUCGGGUCGUAAAGCUCUGUGGGGAGGGACGAACAAAUCUGGGGCUAAGCACCCGGAUGCUGACGGUACCUGACGAAAAAGCCACGGCUAACAACGGGCCAGCAGCCGCGGUAAUACGUAGGUGGCAAGCGUUGUCCGGAUUUACUGGGCGUAAAGAGCGCGCAGGCGGUCGUUCAAGUCGCGUGUGAAAGCCCCCGGCUCAACUGGGGAGGGUCACGCGAUACUGAUCGACUCGAAGGCAGGAGAGGGUAGUGGAAUUCCCGGUGUAGUGGUGAAAUGCGUAGAUAUCGGGAGGAACACCAGUGGCGAAGGCGACUACCUGGCCUGUUUCUUGACGCUGAGGCGCGAAAGCUAGGGGAGCAAAC